GUCCUUAAAUCUUAAACUCGUGCCCUUCCCCCUGGCGAUCUUUUUCUUCCCUCCCUCACUCCCGCGAGCCGCCGUCGACCUCCGACUGUCGCUCUUCCGUCGUGCGUCGACCUUGCGCUACUUGCAAUUACUCCUUUUUCUUGCUUGCUAACUGAUGGUUCCCUGAACCCUUGAUUCUUCGCGGAUUGGGCAUCGAAUCGUGGUUGUGCAGCGAAUCCUGCAUGGAAUAGUAGUGCGGUUUUUGCUUUGAGCAGCAAUCAAUAGCUUCAAAAGGGGAGGGAAUUUCCAAAGACUCAAACGUGGUUAAGAGGGAAUGACCUCUCUCCCAAGGAAAGUAGAAGAUUAGUAAACUCAGCUUCUGAUUCAGCCAAUGCCUGAUGCAGCCGAACUCUCAAGAUAUUAGCACUGUCAACUUUUCUCCUAUAGAUAUCUAUGCAUUCCUGUUCCAGUUCUAGUAGAAUUCUCUCUCUUUCUAGUUGAUCUUGUCCCACUUCAUCCCAAAUCAGCUGUAGUUUUAUGGGAAGCCCAGAGACACUUUAGUAGGAAUCAGAUGCAAGAAUGAUGAAUCUAACAGAAAGCACAUACCUUCAGCUCUUGGAGUAAAUAUCCACAAGAUGAUUCAGGAAUUGCUGAACUUGAAAAACUAGGAAGAGUUCCAAAAGAUCCCAUCUUGCAAAUGUUCAGCGUAUCAGAGAAAGAUCUUGUGAAGACGAGUACCUCAAGUGUGAAGGACAGAGCAGCCUUCUCUAAUCAAGCGUUAUGAAUAUCUGAGGCAGAAAUGAGAACUCUGGAUGGAAGAAAAAGAGAACAGUGGCAAGGAUGUGGAUGGAUGGUGAAAUUGGAUUUGCUUAUUGGUUUUGCUUUGAAGACAAGCAGCAUAACUGGUAGUUGCUUUGAUGAGCUUGGGGAAAGCUUGAAGCUUAAAGAAGAAGACGGGUCCAACCUAUUUUCAAUUGAGUAUAUGUAAGUUAUUCACGCUCUUUAUUCUCUCUGACAGAAGGUAUUUUCUCACUGAUGAUUUCCACAUUCCACCUUUUGCAAAUGCUGCAAUUGGAAGCUUCACCCUGAAGCCGUGGUUGUUGGCAAAUCUCUUACAUUUGUUUUUUUCUAACUCAAGGGAAAGGGUGGGGCAUCCUAUUGUUCGAUUACAUGGAAUAGCCCUAUCAAGUUCAUGCACUCUUUUACUUCAAGGAGAGCCAUUAUUCAAUCAUUGUGAUCUUUGGAAAGUAAUUGAAAUUCGAAAAGUUUGUUGCAUGCAAGCAAGAAAUUGCAGUCUGAUCACAAUCCAGUUGAUGUGAUGGGUGUGGUCUUGCUUUCAUGUGGGGUAAUAGAUGCUUGAAAAUGAAAAGUAUAUAGAAAACACAUAGAUUGCACGGUCAUUCAAUGGAUGUAUAGUCGGUGUAAAUUGGAUACUGGUGUCAAUUAAAAAAAAUAAAAAGAGAGAGAGAGAAGAGGUUGACCUCUCUGUUUCCCUUAUGGUUCAAUUCUCUUCUCUCUCUAAAGCUCCUUUUUUCUCUGUUCACAAAGAUGAAAUGUAGGAUUAGUACAAAUAGUUGUUAGUUCCUUGCAGUAGAAAGGAUUUUAUGACUAUUAAAUAUAAUAGAAAAAGAUCUUUUUAUAUAUAUUUUAUUUGCUUCGAUUGUUACCAUGGAUCUUAUAUAAUUGUUCUGAUGAUAAUGGGUAUUUCUUUAACACGGCAUAGGAUCGAAAGGUUCUUGAAUGAUUCACAAAAUUAUGAAAGCAAGGAUCUUUAGAAAAAAAAUUCUUAUUUGAAGAGUGCAUAAUUGCGUGGAUAAGCUCCGACUAACUCAUCAAUUUGAAUUCAAUUUAGUUUUUUUACUUGGGAGGUAUUGAGUAGGAAUUAUAAUGAAAUAAUUAUUAGUAUAAUCAUAUCUCAAAUUGUUGAUUAUAUGGUUGACAAAAUAUUUAAAUUAGGUUAAUUUUGUGUUAUGAUGUGCCUUGAGUGUGCAAUGCUUGAGAGAUUGAACAUGGAGAUGAAAAGUUCAUAAAAGUGAGAUUCUUGGUCGAGUCCAAUCAAGGACUUGGCAAGUUGCAAAGCUCAUGACUCAACGAGGAUAAGUUGGAAGAUUAGAAGUCCAAGAAGUUAAGAUCGAUCAAAAAGUUUGACAGAUUGCUCAGAAGGUCGAGGACAACUAAGAACUUGGUGGGUUGCUCAUAACUCGACAAGGUUGAGUUGGAAGACAAAGAGGUUAAGGUUGAUUAGGAACUUCUUAAGUUGCUUGUGGUUAAGAAAGUUUGUAACUCAAUGAGAUCGAGUGGUGCUUGCAUGAUCAAGUAAGUUGUUAGUUCAACGGCUUUGAGGCUUAGAAUGAGGUAAACGCUCAAAGAAGGCAAAGAAUGAUAUGAAACAAGCAUAGAGUUGUAGGAUCAACACGCGAUGGGUUUCGGAUUGUAAUCAAUGUUUUAGUUUGAUCUUGAGUUAAGUCGAGGUUGACGAUCAUUCUCAAUU